UUUUUUUUUUCUUUUUUUUUUUUUUUUUUGUCUUUUUGCCAUGUCUUGGGCCGCUCUUGUGGCAUAUGGAGUUUCCCAGGCUAGGGGUCCAAUUGGAGCUGUAGCCACUGGCCUAUGCCAGAGCCACAGCAACACGGAAUCCGUGCCGCGUCUGUGACCCACACCACAGCUCACGGCAACGCCGGAUCGUUAACCCACUGAGCAAGGGCAGGGAUCGAACCAGCAACCUCAUGGUUCCUAGUCGGAUUCGUCAACCACUGCGCCACGACAGGAACUCCUAGUCUAUGUUUUCUAAAAAUAUUUUUGAAGUAGAUGUACACAGAAAUACACAUGCAACCCACAGAAGACUAACUUGUAAAUUACCUACAUGUACAACUCUAAGAGGCUGAUUUGUAAAUUUUAGCACAUCUACGUAAGGGCUGUUCUGAUACAACUUUUUCAGAGACAAGUUUAAUGACACAGGAAAUGCUCAUAUAAUGUUAAGGGAAAGGGCAGGUGACAAACUGAUAAACAAAGUAUAAACCCACUGUUGGGAAGGAGGAAGGACUACAAGGUAGAUGAGAAAGAGGGGUAAGGAAGAAAAGAGGGGAAAAAAGACUGUUAGAAGAACAGGGAAGAAAGAGGAAGAGGCUGAAGCAAUGAUAUUGCAAGCAGUUUAUUGACCAGCUGAGUCGUCUGGAGCGCUCAGCAACCAAGACUCAGGCUCCUCCUUGCAGGGGAGUGCUUGGUUUUUUUUAUAGACAGGGUCAUUUUAGUGAGCCGAGUAGUCUAUGGCCUUGGGGCUAUCUUUGUUCUGGGAAACUCAAUCUGUUACAUGGGCCCAUUCAGUAAGGAGGAGUCUGCAAGUCUGGAUUCGGUUGGGUUAUGCUGAUUAUUUGUCCUUUUCGGCUUUGUUUCAUUUUCCACCCAAUAAGACAAAAUGAAAAUAAUGAAAAAUGUUAGCACUGGUUAACUAUAUGAUGGAAUUAUAGGCAUUUUUCCCUUUCAUCUUCGUACUUUUUUAUGUUAUUUUCUAAGAAGCCUGCAUACUUUUAUAUUAAUAAGAAAUCAACAUUUUAAAAGUUAGAAUAUAUAUUCUAUGGCCUUCAAGUGAAGAAAAUAGUCUUCAGAAAUUUUUUUACAAUUUGGGUUGGCUAGUUGUAGAGAAGAGAGAAGGAAAAAAAAAAAAAGAUAUUACCCCUAUAGUCUUUUGCCACUACUGAAACAUGCAUAUGCGCUCUUGCUUGCAGGCUUGCUCUCUCUCUCUCACACACAGUCACUUAUUCACUCACUAAUGCUGUUAUAGGCUCAGUACCUUGACAUCUAAAAGCUAUGCUAUACCAGAGUCAGUAUCUGAAAGUCCAACUAUGCGUUCUUAGCUGCGGGUAACCUAGAAUUGAUGCAUCAUUCCAAACAAAAACUCCUCUUUGAGUCCAAAAGCUUUUUGCAACAAGAUCCUGUGGGGCCACCAACUAUGAAUAAAGAAAAUGAUAAGAGCAGGAACGCAAAAGGGUUCACAGACCAAGGCUUCUCCUAUGAUGGAUUUUCAUCUCUGGAAGUUAACAGAUUUUCUGCAAAGACUGCCAUCCCCAUGGACCAGAGUAGCCAGCCUAAAUAUGAUGUAGCUUGACAUUGAGGACAGGGGUUUACACAGAGAAGCCUCUCACUCAGCUCCUUCCAAGAACCACAAAUGAUUCUAGGAGAUCUAUGAUAAAGAAAAAACAAAAGUGACCCUGGGAACAUACUGCAGGGUGUCCCAGAAGACUUUGCAGGGCCUAGAAUAAAAUGAAAACAGGGGGCUUCUUGUCCAAAAAGCAGGAACACAUUGCCAUUACAGAUGCUAAAACAUAAAGAUUUCCUUACUUCAUCUUUCUCCUGACCUAUCAAGAUUUUUUUUUAAUUUGCUACUGAAUGUCAUUCUGAGAAUUUUAAUUUUUUAUUAGCAUGGAUUUUACCAUUUCUGUUUAUAUUGUGAAAUACCUGUCUUAAAUGCAAAUGUAAGAGCAUUUAGCUCAACUGCAGAAUCACCAAAAUUACACAAUUCAUAUUCUGUAGCUUGUACAUGCAUAUGUAUGGUGUUCUUAGAACAGUGGAAAUACUGCACAAAACUAACUCAACUGUUUUUAUUUCACUUCUUGAUAUGCAUACAUUCUACCAAUGAUCUACUUUAAGCUUAGUGAUAAGUUAGAAGGAAUGAAAGGUAAAGGAACUAUGUAUUCCCUAUUUUCUUUUUUUUUUCUGUGUCAUUUUCAGCAUAAGUUUUUGGUUAAUACAAGAAAGUAAGUAACAUGAGUCAGAAAGGAUAUGAUAUGAUUCCUUGGUCACUGUAUAGAAUAAAUGCUUGGGAUUUCUAUUACACUACUGACAUAGAACACUCUGACACUCCUGAAUGUGUCUGUGUAUGUCGGGGGUGGAUGUUUACCAUGCCCCAGUUUCCUCCAAUGUAACCCAGUUCUGAUGCCGUCUACCUGGAGAUCCCACAGGUUAGGGGCUCAGUCCCAGAAGACUGCCUCCAGCCCUCACUUUAGAAGCUAAUUACAAGCUUCAGAUUGCCACCUGUACUUCUGACUGACUGGCUGUAACUUUGGGUUUCCAGGACCUUCACUUAGGUUUCAUAAUUUCCCAGAAUGGUUCACAGAACUCAGAGAAAACACUCAGGUUUACCAGUUUAUUGUGAAGGGAUAUGACAAAGGGUAUAGAUAAACAUCCAGAUGGAAGAGAUGCAUACUCCCAAGGAGUAAGGUAGUAGAGAGGGCCACUCUCCCAACACAUAGAUGUGUUCAUCAGCCAUACUUGAGAUUUUUAGGAAAGCUUCAUCCCAAAAGCAUGGUCAAUCAUUAAUUCAAUCUCCAACUCCUCUUCUCUUCCUGGAGGAUGAGCAGUCAAGCUCAACAUUCCAAGAUUUUAAUGACGGAUUGUUCUUUCUAGGGAACAGUCUCUAUUCAGAGGCUUUCCAGGAGUCCACCAAGAGGUACUCCUUAGAACAAAAGACACUCCCAUCACCCAAGAAGCUCCAGUGGAUUUAGGAUGCCUAUGUCUGGAAGUGCCAUCAAAGACAAAACAUGAGAACAAAAAUAUUUCUAGUACUCUUACCACUUAGCAAAUUACUGGGGUUUUUAGAAGAUCUGCUAGGAACUGGAGGCAGAGACCAACUUAUAUAUUUUCUCUUAUUUCACAGUUCAUAUUUCUUAGAACACCACUGCCUUCUUCCCAUGUCAGAAGCAAAUUCUGGUUCAAAUAGAAAGCACAGCAUCCCAGGAGGUUAACUGUAGAUACAACACGCUUACCUUGUAUUCACUUUUUGUACUGCUGAACCAGCAUUCUGUGUUCCUGGGGCAUCCUAACCACUGCAUGCAAAUGAGGUAGACAGAAGGGUGGUCAUACAUUUUGUUCUAAUCUCCUCUGGUCACACACAUGCUCCACGGUCCCAUCAAACUUCGCUUACAAAAUACAGGUUGAAAGAUAAAAUCAUUAAGAAUUUCAAAACAACAUCAGAGCAUCAAAUCAAAGACAGGGGCCUUCUGAUCACAGGCCCUUGUUUGCUGCCUUGGUUGCACAUCCAUGAAGCCAGCCCUGGCAUACUGCCUUGGUUUUUGGCCAAAGUACUUUCCAGUGUAUUCAGCAGCCCGUAACACCUACUUAUCUAAUUAAAGAAAUUAAUUUCACCAUACCUAGGGGCAAUGUGCACAGGACCUGUGCACACUGAGUUUUACACAAGAAGUGAUUAGGAUAAACUUACUGAAGAAGAGAGCUAACCACAAUGAUCUGAUAGUCACCUAACAUUACAUGACUACUUCACACCAAAAUCCUGCUUUACAGUUUAUGGCUAAAGCUGAUAGUAGAAGAGCAAUUAGGAAGCAACCAAGAAGGUAAGUUUGCUCACUGGUUAUUUUAGAUGCAGUUCCUGAGAUUGACUGGACAUUAAUUGGAGAAUCAUUAAACAAGAAGGCACAGUCUUACAUAUAUCAAAGGUCUGUUUUCUUUCUGGUUGACAAAACGAACAAUUCCAGGAAUCAUGCUGAACACUGUAAUCUGAUAAUUAAGGAAGGGCUCAGUGGAGCAAGGAAAGGAAAUGGGAAAAUUAAAUUUAGAAAGAAGCUGACGAAGAGCCAGGUACCAGCUGACAUAAAAUCAUCUGCUGAAGAUGUUCUUAAAGAGAAACUGAAAAUGCUCUUCAUAAAUAAGGUUUAGUGGCAUCGAAAAAAAGGGAAGCUUUUCUGUACAAUAAUACUAAGGCUGUCAAGGCAAUGCAUUUCUUAACCAAGCAAGUUAAUACUGCUUCUGUCUACUGCUUGCUUCAAAAUGAGCGAAGUCAGCCUUAUAAUACCAUCAAAUCAAGUGCAGUUUAAGUGAAAUGUUUGUAUACAUUCAGCCACUGUCUACAUACAUAAAGUGACUUUCAAAUCAAUACUUCGGGGAAGCAAGAGUAAGAAAUUUUUUGCUAGACAUUGAUUUGGCAACAUUUCCGCCUCAAUUUUCCUAGUUCCCUGAUUUUCCAGAAAUAAACCAGAGUUUAUGGCCUCCCUUCUAAAGAAUCAUUUUCUCUUGAGCUGGAAUCUAUGACCCAUGCCUGCCAGGGUGGUUCAAUCUCCAAUAUUCACAAGUGGAGCACUCUCCUUUGGCCAAAUGGUACCUGCCUGAGUUACAGACUGGACACCACCGUAGGUCUCUCACUACAUUUCCAUUGCCAACCUCCAGAUUAGAGCUCUGAGUCCAGAUGAUCCAAAUCCCAAAUCAUUCUGAAUAUGAUGCUUUGGAUCACCUAACUCAGUUCUGAGAUCAACUCAUGUGUUUUCCUCAGCUCUUUAAUUUGCACACUAAGACGGCUGUCUCCACCUAAUAAUGGCUUGUCCUACUGCUGUUGCACUAAGUUGUCAAGAAAUCAACACAUCUUUUAGCUUGAGUUCAUCUGAGAUACUGAAUGAGUCUCAGGGUCACUCAAAUGCCACAUAUCCCAGCAUCUGUGAUCUAGUCUUGUGUCUAACUCAAAUCCUAACUCUGGAGUAUGGGGACACUGCUCUUUCCUAUCGAUGGUGCUCUGUGUCCUUGGAUCCCACUAUAACGGGGAGGAAGAAAAAGAGGGCAAGCAUAAGAAUUCUCAAGUAUUAAGAAAGUUCUUUAUCUCAAAUCUUGCCCCAAUCCAGGUGCCAUAACAUUUGUAGCAUCUUCAUUAUAAUUUAACUCAAUUCGACAAAAGUUCUUUAAGCACAAACCAAUGAGGACACAGUGGGUUACUCUGUAAGAAAUAAUAAAGUAUAAGUAAUACAGAUAAAUAAGGCACAGCUCAUGCUCUGGAGGAUCUCACAAUCCAAAGAGAACGAACUAAGAAUGAGAUAUAUAUUAUAUUAUGGUUAUUUUACAGAUGUACAUAAUAGAAAUGUUUAUCAAGUGUUCGGCGGAUAUAGAUUGAAGGACAUUUUCAGCUAAUCAUUGCUCUCUUCCAGACAUUAUUUUAUUCAAAUUAUUCCAAUUAGCAAUACAUCAGUUAUUAGUACCUUGUCUCUUUCUCAGGCUGUGAGGUAGAAGGUGCUAAGUGUGCUGGGAAAAACUGGAGCAAGAAGUAUCAGGAAAAUGUUCAUUAAAGCAUUCACUCAGACAUUCAACAUUUAUAAAUCACCAAAUCUACGGCCGACACUGUGCAGGAUGAAAAGUUCUAUCAGGAAUAUUUAUUGUCUUCAAAGGAACACAUGUCACCACUUACGCCCUGAUGUUGAGAAAUUAAGUUGGGACUUUGGUAAUUUGGUUUAAUAGCUAAACUUUUAUUAUUUCAGGACUUAAUCCACAACAAAUUCUCAUCAGUACACACCUAACACAUUUUAUUUCAUUGAGGUGUCUGUAUUUCUACUUAUUCCUCUUACAGUCACUCAGGUUCAUUCCUACUGUGGCACUUUUUUUUUUUUUCAGGAAAAAAUUAACUGCUUUCUAUCUAUAUUUCAUAGAAUGGAGUCAUAUGCUUGUAUCAAAAAGAUAUUGGGUACUUAUAAAAUGCAUAACAUCUAACUCAGAAUCUCUCAAGUUGAAGGCCAGAAAUCUGCAUUUUUAAUGAUGACUUAAAAAAGUACACACAACCUAAAAGUUGAGAGUUAUGUUUUAUUUAGUAGACAAAAAUGAGGACUUAAGCCCAGGAGGCAGCAUCUCAAGUAACCCUGAGAAAACUGCUCCAUGGAAGUGAGCGGGGAUCUAGGAUAUAUUUGACUUUUUCAAAAAAGGGCAGGUAGUUAGAACAAAAGAUCAUGGUUAAUAAAAGAAAACCAAGUAUCUCAAGUUAAGGAAUUUACUGGUUUUCUGUGUAUGGGGAGAUGCAAGGGUCUGGGCUCACUGACAUCAUCCCUUUGAUAGGCUCCUCGGCCACCUGGGGCCUGGAUCCUGUAUUUUCAUAUCCUGAGAGCUCAUCAUUGGGAGUGGCUGCAGUUUUGAUGGCUGCUAGAUGGCAGGUCUUCUUCCUGAGUUCCGUCAUCCUUGGCAGUGGCUGCAAUCACUGAUGUCGGUGACAUCCUUUGUUCACUGAUAUGGCAGGCAGCAUUUUCUCUUUAAUAGCACAUCGAUUGUCCUGAUGAACACUCGAGUUUGAGAUACUAUUCUAGCUUAUCUUUACAUCUUGAGGAUGUAGGUCAUUUCCCCUUCUAAGCAAUGUUCUGUCUCCGGGCUCAUUUUCACUGAAAAUAUAAUGAUUAAGCAACUUCUAAAGAUAUGAAAAUACAAUGAACUCCAUAAGGUGGCUCCAAGGCCACAGAUCUGACCUCUGUUUUCCUUCCCAGACCCAUCCCUUACUAACAGUCAGCUAUGCUCUCACCAUAAUCUACCUUCCACUUUCUUCAUUGUGUCGAGCACUUCCCUAACCCCUGAGUUUAUACCAUGUCAUGUCUAGUGCCUAAAAGGUUCUUCCCCAUACUCAUUGCCUGGAUAAUUGUUUUCUGUUCAUAUCUCAGCUCAAAUAUCCUUUUCAUAGAGAGACUUUUUCUAACCACUCUAAGUUAAUUAGGAUUAAAUGAAUAUUCUUCCUUUAUAGAUCCAAG
rnacentral:lncRNA from 1 species